rnacentral:misc_RNA from 1 species
AAACAACCCGUGUGUCGAGUGUAAUCAUCUACAAUAGUCAAAAAAUAUUUGUGAUUAUGUAUUAAAGGUACAGAAUAGGGACCUCAAAUGUUACAAUGGACGAGUUCAAAAGGUUUACAAGACUUUGACUCAUUUACAGGAAAAGAUAGCUUUCUUUGUUUGGCUAUGUGACAAAUUUCAGAGCUAUUAUUAUUGGAAAAAGAAAAAUCAGACAAAUGGAGGUGAAUAGAUUUCAAUCUGGAAUCAGAAGGAUGCCCAAGUCUAUAUUGUCAAGUAUCAAACUGAAUGAGGAAGUAAGCACUGUGUGUCUUGUGGAUUGAGUAAUGUCCCACAAUCCCUCUUCAACCUCAGCUGAACCAAUCUUCUUCAAAGUGGUCAAGUCUUGCUUCAAUCCAUAAAUUUCUUCUUGUAAUUCUGAGAUCCGCAGUUUAUCUCCUUGAGAAAAUGUCUCUUUGAAUCAACCAUGAGAUGACCAUCGUAGUACACCUUUCCCAGGCACUAUACAAAGGAUCAGUAACAGGAAGAGCCUUCAAAGAUCCAUCAACAAACUUCAACUUAUUCUUACACAACAACGCUAUUCUCAUUGCCCGUGACCAUGGUACCUGGGGCCUCUGAGUACAAGUGAGGCCAGAAUGAAAGCUGAAUUCUCAUUUAGAAGAAGAAAAUAAGGACUGUAAGGACUCUGUAAAGGAUCAUUGGCUGGAGUAGCUAUGGAAGCUCAAGAAACAGAAACUGAUCUCUAUGACAAA